rnacentral:lncRNA from 1 species
CUUGGGAACUGGAAAAUUUCUCCCACUCUCCAGCCCUGCCUUUUCUAGUGGCCAAUUUAGCCUCUAUGUCUGGACGUCUGGUUGGUGUUGACUAAAAAAUAUAGUCACCAUCACCACCUGAAAGAGAGUUAUUUUAUUUGGUGAGAAUGUUUAGGACUCUGAGCCCUGGAGACAGUAUCUCGGUAGCUCUGAGAAAAGUGAUUCAAGGAACCGGAAGGGGAGUCAGGGUAUAUACAAGUUUGCAGCAAAGGGAGCAGGAGCAGGCAGUCUGAACAUCAAAGAUCAGAUAGCAAAUUAAGGAACUUAGCAUUCUGUAUAUGGGAAGAUAAAAGGCUCUUGGCUCACUGAAUUCAUUCCUUUCAUAUGCACCUCGGCUAUCUGGGGCCAAUCCUGUUUUCUUGCUCACCUUAAGGAGUGACAGAUGGCUCUUCUUGCAUUCCCCCAGCUCCUCAGCAACCACUGAGGGGAGUGGUGGCAUCUGCUGGAUCACAGUUUUGGGAACCCUUAUUCAUAUUUGGAGGCCAGAAACUGCUGAUGGCUGUGACAUUUCUUGUUAAUUGAUACGGCAGGAGAUAUUUUCACUUUACACUAGUAUCUCACAGUCAUGUCACUUAUGUCUCAACAGAAUGGACCCUUGUCUAUGAGAUGCUAUGUUGGAGUUCUGGAUUGUCACUCUGGGGUCACAGCAUGGGCUCGUCAUGUGGUGGUUGAUGGCAGGGGGCAAAAUGGGGAGGCGUGGGCCCGUGACAUGGACUCCUUGGGGAUGUAGAAGAGAGUGCAGGUGACAGAGUGCAUACCUCCUUCCUGUAAAACACUUCUUCGGCUGUCAUCUCUUCUUCAACAAAGUCAUUUAUUUGGGGCUGUGCAGUCAUUUAGAGGACACUUUUCUGCGGCGCAUCUCUGGAUGACUUUGUAAA